GGCAGUGUGGGGUGGUGGUCUGAGCAUUGGACUAUGACUCUGGAGAGCUGGGUUCGAAUCCUAGUUUGGCCA